ACAAUAGUAUUAUUAAUCCCAGCAAUAACAUUAGCCAACUCCUAGAUUUAAUACGGGACUAUUCUAUUACUAAAUAGAAGCAAUAAUGUUAAUAUGAGUAACAAGAAAUAUUUUCUCCUCGCACAAGUUUAAGUCAGUAACUGAUAAUACCCUGACCGUUAACAGUAAAUAAAAAUAACCCAACAAUAAAUGAUUUAUUACUUAUACUGUUAACCCAACACAGGAGUGCACCCGGGAAAGAUUCAAAGAAGUAAAAGGAACUCGGCAAACACUAAACCCCGCCUGUUUACCAAAAACAUCACCUCCAGCAUCCCUAGUAUUGGAGGCACUGCCUGCCCAGUGACUAAACGUUAAACGGCCGCGGUAUUCUGACCGUGCAAAGGUAGCAUAAUCAUUUGUUCUCUAAAUAAGGACUUGUAUGAAUGGCCACACGAGGGUUUUACUGUCUCUUACUUCCAAUCAGUGAAAUUGACCUCCCCGUGAAGAGGCGGGGAUAAAUCAACAAGACGAGAAGACCCUAUGGAGCUUUAACUAAGUAACUCAAGGAAAAUAAAUUCAACCACCAAGGGAUAACAACACUCCUUAUGAGUUAACAGUUUCGGUUGGGGUGACCUCGGAGAACAGAAAAUCCUCCGAGCGAUUUUAAAGACUAGACUAACAAGUCAAACCAAACCAUCGCUUAUUGAUCCAAAAACUUGAUCAACGGAACAAGUUACCCUAGGGAUAACAGCGCAAUCCUAUUCAAGAGU
rnacentral:rRNA from 1 species